GACGAACGCUGGCGGCGUGCUUAACACAUGCAAGUCGAACGGGAAGACAUGAAGAGCUUGCUCUUUAUGAAAUCCAGUGGCAAACGGGUGAGUAACACGUAAACAACCUGCCUUCAGGAUGGGGACAACAGACGGAAACGACUGCUAAUACCGAAUACGAUUCUUGAGUCGCAUGACACAAGAAAGAAAGGGUGGCCUCUACAAGUAAGCUAUCGCCUGAAGAGGGGUUUGCGUCCGAUUAGGUAGUUGGUGAGGUAACGGCCCACCGAGCCGACGAUCGGUAGCCGGUCUGAGAGGAUGAACGGCCACAUUGGAACUGAGACACGGUCCAGACUCCUACGGGAGGCAGCAGUGGGGAAUCUUCCGCAAUGGGCGAAAGCCUGACGGAGCAACGCCGCGUGAGUGAAGACGGCCUUCGGGUUGUAAAACUCUGUGAUUCGGGACGAAAGAUAAGUAGACGAAUAAUCUGCAU
rnacentral:rRNA from 1 species